UAAUGCGUGACCAACCUGCCCCAUGCUCCAGAAUAGCUCUUGGAAACGGGUGGUAAUGCUGGAUGCUCCAACUUGACGCAUGUCUUGUUGGGAAAGUGUUUAGUGGCAUGGGAUGGGGUCGCGUCCUAUCAGCUUGUAGGCGGGGUAAUGGCCCACCUAGGCUUCGACGGGUAGCCGGCCUGAGAGGGCGGACGGCCACAUUGGGACUGAGAUACGGCCCAGACUCCUACGGGAGGCAGCAGGU
rnacentral:rRNA from 1 species